rnacentral:rRNA from 1 species
UACGUAGGGCGCAAGCGUUGUCCGGAAUUAUUGGGCGUAAAGAGCUCGUAGGUGGCUUGUCACGUCGGGUGUGAAAGCUUGGGGCUUAACUCCAGGUCUGCAUUCGAUACGGGCUGGCUAGAGGUAGGUAGGGGAGAACGGAAUUCCUGGUGUAGCGGUGAAAUGCGCAGAUAUCAGGAGGAACACCGGUGGCGAGGGCGGUUCUCUGGGCCUUACCUGACGCUGAGGAGCGAAAGCGUGGGGAGCGAACAGG